CUUAACCUUACUUUUACAAGUGGUUAGGAUUAUUAUUAUUAUUUUAUUUACAUGUAAAUUGAAACAAUAAAUAUUGUGCUGUGUCAUAAUUUCAAACUCAUUAUGUUGCAGUCUUUUCCAGUUGAUAAAAUUGCAAUUCAAAAACUUUUAGAUUUGCACUGUAUGGAUGGCACAGGAAGAGAACAAAAGUACAAGAACAUGAAACAUCCUAUUAUAAAUGUAUAUGUAUGUGAUCCUCAAAAAAUUAUUUUACAAAACAAGAUAGAGAAAGAGCUUUAAAAUCCCAAGGAUCCUGCAAAAUGUUUAUUUGGUGUACUAGUCGAAUAAUAGUAUCUAAAAAUACUGAAACUAUUUUAAAACACAUUACGGGCAUGAGGAUGAUAUAGAGCACUUACAUAAAUACCAAAAUCAGAUAAAUAUCUCUUCAGUUUAUUUUGAGACUUUCUUCAAAAAUGUAAGUAAAAUAUUUGCAUAUCGACGGCGGAAAGGCAGGACUUCGUAACUGAAAAAAUUUUAUAACAUGAGUUACUUCAGUUUUCGCUUUAGAAUAAGUGUAUCGGCAGCUAUUAAACAGUGAUUACAGCUGGGAAAGUUUCCGGAAGGCUUCCAAAAGGCUUUCCCAGCUCUAAAAGAUGUUUAAUAGGUGCUGAUACACUUAUUCUAAAGCGAAAACCGAAGUAACUCAUUUUAUACAAAUUUUUCAGUUAUAGUCGGUUUGCUAAACUCAGACACAACUGGCUAGAUAUUUUAGUCGAUAAUUUUUUUGUUUUUUGCCAAUUUUGCAAAAAUUUGGAAAAUUACUAACUAUUUAGUGAUUAUUAACUAUUUAGUAAUUAUUUUUCGGCAAUUUUACUACAAUUGGCAAAAUUACCGAUUAAAAUAUCUAGAAAGUUGCAUCUGAGUUUAGCGAACAGACUAUAUGAGGUCCUGCCUUUCCGCCGUCGAUAUACACAAUAUAAUUUAAAACAAGAAUGUUACCACUAAACCACUUUUUAAAUAUUACCCAUGAAUAUUUACUAGAGUUUACAAUUUCAAACUAGUGUGUUUGAUUAUCCUAUACCUAUAUUUUUUUUAGUAAACUUCAGACUGUACAGGAUAGCAUAAUAGCAUAGGAUGCGAAUUAAAAAGAAUUGAUUUACUUACAAGAAAAGAUAUCACAAACAUUAAACUCUCUUAUGGCAUUGAUUUGAAAGAUGGGUAUAUGUACAAUGAUGAUGCAACCAGUGUUUAUUUUUGGGUUGAAUGCUUACAGACUCAUGUCCAAUAUUAUUUUACAAACAACGGGCAUACUAAUGGAUAUUCAUUCUGAAUUUAACAUUUAUGAUUUUUGUCUUAUUUUCCUUAAUACUGUGCCAAAAGGAAAUGUUAAUUAAGUUUGGUAAAUCCUUUAUCGCAAUCAAUGGAACUCAUGGGCUCAAUUCCUAUGACUUUGAACUUAUGACAGUAUUAGUAAAAGAUUAAUUUGGGAAUGGAUUUUGUACUGCUUUCUUAUUUUCAAAUAGAAAAGAUACCUACUUUAAUUUACCAAUUUUUUUAAAUACAUGUCUGUGUUGGUAUUAUAUGUAUAGUCAAAUGUUUUCAUAUCAGGCAUAAGCGACACCUUUUACAAUGCCUCAUCAAAUGUAAUGGGUAUUGCUCCUAAUAGACUGUUAAGUGCCUGGCACAUAGAUAGGGCAUGGUAAGUAAAUCUUAAUAAAAUAUCUGAUUCUGAAAAAAAUCCUAUUAUGUAUACAAGAUGUACUAAUUAGAGAGUAUUAAUAGCUUUUUGGGUAGACUUCUAAGUGAUGCAGAUACAUACAAUUUUAGUAAGUAUUUCCAGUAGAACUACUGCAAUAACAUCCAACAAUGGGCCUAUUGUUAUAGGAAGGGGUUGUGGAAUUAAUACCAAUAUGACCAUUCAAAAUUUUCAUAAAAUUUUGGAUAAAAGGGUAUCCAUUAGUUGUUAUCAGUUAAGUUUAAAACUUGGCACCCAUGGAGAACUAUACCAUAAUAUAUAAUAGGUAGGUAUAUCUCAUAAUAUUACAUCUCAUAUUGCUCACUCAUUACAAUAGUGAGCAAUAUGAGAUAUAACAUAUUAUAGUAUAAGUCUCUGUGCAUGACCAGAUUAACAUGUUUGGUGCCCAUCUCGAACAAGCUCCACUUGGCUCCACAUACUUAAAUCAUUUAUUUAGUUACACAGUACUACUCACAUAACUUAUGUGUCGUCAGUACCUUCUGUAAAACCUUUGUGAUGCUACCCAUACGUCGUGGCCACUGAAUGUGUUAAAGCUUGUUAAUGUAGGAGAUUUAUACUGAAAUAUAUAUCUUAUAUUAUAUUGCCUUAAAUAGAAAAAAUAUCUUAUUUAAAUUGUAUCCAUGUAAGUUUUGAUUUAAUGAAAUAAACCUUUUAAUCAAAAAAGUGUUGUUUACUUGUGUACACCCAGCAAUAUCCUGAUCAUAGAUAAAUAAUAUAGUAUUACCGGAUCCUGAUAUGCAGACGCCAAUAGGGCUUUUCAUCGAUUGUCAUUUGUUUCGAGCUUCUAUCAUGAGUCACAUAAUAUUAAUGUAUCUACGUCAUACGUCUUUGGUUUGUAUCAUUGGUAUAUACCAAUAACGUAAGACGUAGAUAUAUUAAUAUUAUGUGA